rnacentral:pre_miRNA from 1 species
AGUAUAAUUGCUGGGUCAAAUGAUAACUCUAUUUAACCUCUUGAGGAAUUGCCACACUAUUUUCCCAAAGUAGGUGCAUCAUUUUACAUUCUUAGCAACAGU